AUCUAAACUCACCCUUAAAUUGCCACCUUCUUCCACUAUAGAUCUCCCAUUCCUUAUCCAAUGAUUCCUUCUCUCUCUUCUCUCAUUCCAACUUUCCUCAAUAAUUACACUUUCUUCCUUUUUUUUAUCUAGCUCCUUAUUUUUCCUUAACUAGCUCUAUUUUCAUAUUGUAACUCUCAACUUUUAUCGCAUUUUUCCUCCAAUAAUUGAUUUGGUGAGCGUAAACAUACAUAAUUCAUUCUAGCUUAUUCAUUCUUGUAUGUAUAAAGAAGAAUGAGAACAAGAUUCUCAAGCUUAGAACCAACUUCAAACAACCCAAGUCAACUUAGACUAGUAGGAGGCAAUAGUAUCUUCCACAACAGUUGCAACCAAACCACCAUUAUUAUCUACAUAACCUGUAUGACCCUCGCCACCUAGAUAUUACACUCAAUAUCCAAACCAACAAAACCAACCACCACCUCCUUAAGGCAGCGAUGGAGAGCAAACGUCACAAACCCAAACUCUAGCUUACAGUAGUUCACAGAGAUGCAAGAAAAAAAUGAGGAUACUUCCUUGCAGCAACGAAUAUAUUAGCAACAACAAGAGGCGAAUUUUAAGUUUUAUGUUGAACCUUCACUAGAAAGCUAUAAUAGCUCGCACAGAGGUUUCCCACCAUUACAUGAUCACCAAAGGCGAAAUCCUAACAUACACUUACAUUUAAGGGCAAACAUUUUUCUAACCUUGCUAAUUCUAUGAACUCGAUGAGCAGAGGGAGAGAUGGUAGUUAGUGGAAUCAACAACGAAAGCAAAUUGAAAGAGCUCCAUAUAACAGAUUGUUGGAAUCUUCCUAUUGAUUGGAUAGUCUUCGGAGCUCACAUUAUCCGUCAAUCCUUUUGGUAGACUUUUACUCAUUUUGGCCUAGUUAUAAGUGGCAUUUAAAUAGGUUAAUGGCAAUGUAUGCAUAUAAGUAAUUGAAUUAUGUUCGGUGCCAUCUUGAAUAUGAAUUUUGCAUAUAGAGGUAAACCUUGAUGGUUGCUUUGGUUAGUUGUGGUACUUGAUGGUAUAAGCAUGCUUUGGUACCUAGAAUGCAUUUUGUUUGAUGAAUUUGACCAUUUGGGAUUGAUGUUGUAUUGGUGAAUAAAUAGGUAUGAAACUUUGGUAUGAUUAUACAUGAAUAUAUAAUGAUGAAUGGUUGA